CCCCCCCCGCCUAUCUCCAUUAAGAGUUGGUUGUACUCUGGGUACCCUCUGGGAUGGCCCAGAGCCUGAGGCUGCUCACCUUCUACCGCCUGAGCCCCAGCUGGAUGCCUGUCCCUUCCAAGUGCCCUCACACAGGCUCAGUGCAGCCGUCCCAAGGGGUCCACAGCCAGCCAGGGUCCCUCCUUUGCUCUGCUUCCUGCCAGCCCCAGGCCGCCUUCGUGAGGGAGGUUUCAGUGUGAGCCUGCACCAAGGGAGGAGGAGGAGGACAGCGGUACACAUUUGUGGGAAGCACAGAGGGGUAGGCCCUGGACCCUGACAGGCUCUGUCCCCUCAGGCCCCUCAGCCAGGGCUGCCCUAUGGUCCCCAGACCCAACCCUGGGCUCCAGGAACCCCUGCUCAGCUGCCUGCCUGUCGCACUGGGUCCCCGUUCUCUUCAUCAGCAGGAGCUGCUUCUGUUGAAGGACUCAUUCUACUACUCAGGAAACUUAAGAGGUGAUCAAAGUGGUCCACGAACCUCGGGAGUCCAAGUCCAGGCCCUUCCCCUCGGCUGGCUCCGCCGGCCUUGGGCGGGGGGAACCCUGUGGCCCCUGGGAGUGUGGAAGUGUCCUCCGGGAUGGCUUUGCUCCAGUGGGUGGAGAUCCGGCCAAACAGUUCUUACUCAGGCUUAGAAAGUCGCUUUUAUUCCUUAAUGUUACAAACGCAAACACCCUUGCCUUUUCAUUUCAACUCAGAAGUGAUUCUGUUUCUAAACGGAGCACACUUAACACACGUGUUUUGGGGCUUUGGGCUAAUUUUGGUCCUGUUUACAAAGGCAAUUAGGGAAAUGUCCUUAGCUACCCCCCACUUCAUAAGUGUGGCAUAUCUGCUUUCCUUUCUGCACGCUUCAGUCAUUUGAAAACCCAGCAAACGCUGUGAGCCCAAACGUUUUCACCCGUGCUUGCAUCUUAACAUAUGAGCCAUCACUUAAAAAGAAAACCCCAAUUCUGAAUUAAUGCCUUACUUAACAUUAUUUAUUUGUAAGUGCUCAAGGACAUUGGCGAAUAUCUGAAACACUGCACAGGCUCAGAUAUCGUGACACAAAAUGUAGACGACAAAAAGGUGACGUUAUGGCAUAAACGUGUAAUUUUUUCUGGGGUGAAGGGAAGUUCCUCCAUCUGUUGGACGAAUGUCUCGAAGUGUGGCUGUACCUUGUGGACAAUGUUGGGUUAAAGCUGCUCUGUCGGCUGGGCCCCAGGAACUGGAUAUUUCAGGUGGGACAAGGGUCUGGGUGCUCUAGACAAGACCAUUGUUGCCAGGGGCACCCCACUUUGACACGUUCUGUGUCAUGCCUUCUAAGUGGGGUGCUCUUCCCAAGCCUCGCCCAAGGGCUCAACUGCUGGUAUAUAAGUUCUUCCUCCUUUUUCUUCCUUCUAUUUUUCCAAGAUAUCCGUAACUCAGACUUCACUGACCACCCAGCCCUCUCCAGCCCGGGCAGGCUUCCUUCUCCAGCUUCUUUAAUGUUCUUCCCCGUAGCAGGGCUCCAAGGAAGCUAGGUGUCCUCAGCACAGCUCCCUGGGCUCUGCUGGGGCUUGGUUUGAAGGAGUUGACAGUUCCAAGGUGACUCUGGUGACCCUCGUAGCUGCUGGGCCAGGAACUUCCUUUUCUCUUUAGUCGUUUAGCUGAAUAUUCCCCUCCCUCAAGUUCCCCCUGCCUUAGCAACUACAAAUGUUUUCCUUCCAGAGGUGGGCCUAAAAGAAGCCCUUGUGGCUGGCUGCAGGGUUUAGGGGAUCACUGCGUCUCACUGGUUCUCAGGGUCUCCUUUAGUCUCUGAAGGCAGGGCCCCAGGCACUCAGCCCCAGGCCCAGCAUCUCAGAGGCUGGCCUCCUCCUGCUGCUGUCAUCGGUGGGUCCAGGGUCUCUGUGGGACCCACUGGUCCUCCUCUGGGCUCAACCUGGGCAGCCUGUCCUGGACCCCUGUCCCACCCGCUCCUCUGGUGCCCUCCCACCAUCUGCUGUUCAUUUUGUUCACAGCCAGGAAGCGCUCCUGCUCCUUCUCAGAUUUAGGAGAUGCCUUGUCUCUCUGGUCAGGCUGAAGCACUCAGGCCAGCAUCCAGUGACCUCAGGCCUAACGGCCCAAGCCUCUGUUCGGAGGCAGCCUGGAGCCCACUGCCCAGCCCGAGCCUCCUUGCUUCCCAGAGGCAGAGCCCACCUGCCCUUUUCUCAGAACUCCUGUUCUCCAACUGCUACCAACCCCUCCUCCAGGAAGGCCCCUGGAUUUGGCCUGGCUUGUUAUCGCUUGCUUUAAAUGAACUCCCUCGUUCUGAGCUAUUCCCUGUGACUGGUGUCACAGUGUGGCACUCAUCCCUGGCCUAUGUCUACAGGAGCUGUGUCCUGCUGACUCUCGUGGUCCAUGGGGCUUUCCUACUCCCUUUCUGCAUCCAUGGGAGUUGGCUGAACUGUGGGGACCCUCUGGGAUGACCCAGGGCUUGGCCCCUCACCGUUUUCCUGCCUGAGCCCCACCAGGCCCCUGGCCCCUCUGAGUGCCCUCACACAGGCCCAGUGCAGCUGUCCCAGUGGGGCUGUGGCCAGGCCAGUCUGUCUUGCUGUGCACCCCCAGCUCUUUCCUGGCAGCCCUUGUGCUUUUUCCGGAGCCCCUCAUCCCUGAGGUUGCCCCGUGGCCCUGUGCCUGGCCUUGAAUCCCAGGCGCUCCUUCCCUGCUGCCGCCAUCACCCUGGCCUCCCCGAGGCUUCCAUCCUGUUGGUGUCGUGAGGUUGGGCUCUGCAAGCCCCUUUUUCCAGGAAAGCCUUUACUGUCUGCUCCUUGGCCAAGGGAGACUUAGGUGAUUCCUGCUGGCUCAGGUGUUUUCUUCACAUUCUUCCCAGACUGUGGGGCUGGGGCAUCCAACUCUGAGUUCUGCCCUUGGUCUCACUUUAUCCCAGUUCCCCUGGAUUACAGGUCCCAUCUGCAGCUUCCUGGUCUCUGCAUCUGAGGACUCCCACAUGGGGAACUGGUUGGCCCCAUGAGCCACCUUCCCAAGGCCCUUUGUCUGCAAGGAAGGAGACCUGAUGCCAGGUGUGCAUUGGAGGUGACGGUUCUGGCCUCCCGCUGCUCCUUGUUGUCCAGGCUGCACUUGACCUUGCCAUGGUGGGAGCUCAGCCAUUGCCCCCUCCCUCAGGCAUGUGGGGACAUGUCAGGCUUUUCUGUUUUCCCCACCACUCCUGCCUGGAGGGUUUUAUGACUUGACUCCUAGGGCCCAACCUCCAGUUGAGGCCUGGGCUGCCUCUCCAGCAUACGCUGGCAGCCCCUUCUCUUUCCCUAGGCCUAGGGCCCCAGCCUGCUGUCAGCUCUCCCCUCUCCUUAGCACCAAGCCCACCACAACACCCAUUCCUACCCAGUCCCCACCCCAAAACCCCCCUCUCUCACGGCCUCCUCUAAAACUGCCCUCACCUGCAUCUCAGACAGUGCAUCUUCCGUCCUCCCGGUCCUUGUCAAACGAAGCAAGGUCACAUGUAAAAGAGUUCCCAGUGGGGUGAAACUCCUCCAGCAACUCUCGAAUCCCUUGAUUUCGAUAGCUCCCAGAAUCUGCAAUGGUCCAGGGGAGAAAACUCACCCAUCUACCCCUCUCUCUUCUCACUUUUCAAACAAAUUGUAUGGCCCAGUCCCUAUAUAUUAAGCACCAUGGCUGUGAGUAUAUAAACCUCAGUCCGGGGUCUAUUGCAGAGAACAGAAUUCUCUGUAACUAAUUUAAGCAGGAAAAAAAUUCACAAGAGGAAACCAAGAGGUGGAUGGAAUUGUCAGGAGGGCUGCAGACCACACUCGAGGGUGGCCUUUUUGCACUGACUUGUAAAGUAACUGCGCAGGACUGGCCCACCAAGGAAGCUGCCGCCUGUUUCUGCUUAAUGGGGCUGCUGAGGGAACGAAACGGUCCCUUGAGGGGCCCUGGGCUGCUGGUGCCGGGAUCACAGCAGCUGCAUGGGUACCCCCUUGGGUGCUAGCAAUGGGCUGUGGACUCUCAUCCCAGUGCGGGGACGAUGGCGGUUGAAGCAUCUCUCUGCCUCACUGCCUCCUUCCAAGGCUCUCAGAAGAGCAUCUGAUCUGCAGAACCCAAACAUCUGUCCUGCAGCUUUAAGAGGAUUUGGCAGGGUUGGGCUGAUGCCUCACAUCCGGGGCGUGGACCAGGGUGUGUUCAUUUCUUCAGCAGCUCCGUGAAGUAGGGGCUUCACCCCUGCUCUACACUUUGGGGGAAAGACUCAGAGACAGUAAUUGCCCCAAGCAAGCACAGAAUACCCAGAAGAGCUGGAAGGAGUUCCAACCCACUUUACUCCCAGACUUUGCCUGUUCCCCCUAGAGAUCAGGGCCCAAAGACCUGAGUCCCAGAUCGGGCAUGGCCAAACAUCCCAACUUUAGGCUAGUGGAGUGUCGAGAGACGCCAGCUGUACCAUAAUCCCGGGGCCUGUGCCGGCCCUGUCAACCCCUGCAUCCCCUGUCUUGUUGCUAAAAUUCUGGUUCCUGCUGAGAUACCUGCUCCAAAUCCUUCCUUUAAAGAUGAGAAGAGUGAGCCUCAAAAAUAAGGGUUGGAAGUGGGGAGAGCCUUCCUGUGGUCAUAGGAAGCAUGACCAGGGAAGAGGAGGUCAUAUUUGCCAGUUAUUUCUAUUAUAACCCAGAGAUGGGAGGAGGAGGAGGCAGGCGGGACCAGGGUCAAGGGGGUCCCUGCCACAGGGCAUGUAUGUGAGAGGGGUCUGCUCUGACUCUCCCUUAGCCCCCUGCUCUUCCCCACAGGCUGAUGAGCCUGCAGGGCCCACGGGCAUUCCCAGACACUUUCCAUUUGACCAUGCUCCAAGCACCUGGGAUGCCAGGAUUGACUGUCCAGUGGGGCCCUGGGCAUGUUUCCAAGGCCUGUCCUUCCCAGGGUGGACCGUGCCACCCAUGUGGGCACUCUUAGGCAUGAGAGAUGACCAAGGAGUAGCUGUGUGUGGGAGUUAUAGGCAGAGCUUGAAUGCGUGGGGUCGCGGUCGCUAUGCAUGCCUGUGAGAUCCUUUAAGUUGUGAGAUAGUGCUGUGGGCGAGAAGAGGGUGUCCUAUGGGCCAGGGAAUGGGACUUGACUUUCCAUAGGCCACCACAUUUAGGGAGGCCAGGAAUUUGAAAUUCAAACCUGUUAGAGGUCAUCGUGAAGGUACAUUUGUCAAGGCAGGCGGAUAUUCUAACAGUUUGUUAGCUGAAUGGAGAACUUUUCAGUAUUUAGACACACAGGAUUUGGGCUUCCCUUUGUACUCAUGCCCAGGCCUGGCAAAUACUAGGGGGAGGCCUGGGCUCCGGGUUAAUGGGGUCUGGGGAUAGAAGUCAGAUGGUGUGGGAUGAACCUACUGCUUGGAGGAAAAGGGUAUAAAUGGAGGAAAAGGGUAUAAAUGGAGGAAAAGGAAGAGGAAGUGGUUUUGCUGUUUUGUGUCUGGGCAGGAGCAGGGUGGGCUUGGCAGGCUGCUCAUAGAGGAGGGAAUGACCCCGUGGGGACUGGGGAGGUGGAAGGGGAGAUGGCAUCACUUGGGCUCAAGAGUUGGGUGGGGCUGGCAGGAACUUCUCCUGGGAGUGGGAGGAAGGCGGGAUGGAACCGGCUACUCAUGGAAGGCAGGAGAAGGGGUAGGGAGGAGCGGUGCUCAGAAAGUCACUUUACAUUUGGAGUAUCUUCCUUUUACCCUUUCCAGCUAAGUAAAAAGCAUAUUUUUUUCUCUCUUCUGCUGCUCAGCAGCAUUGCAUGGCCCCAUUGCUUUUCCUAGUUUCUUGCUCUGAGGGUCAACUCACAAGUCUUCUUCUAGGUGCCAUGUGAGGCACCAGCCCUGGCUGGCGCCUGCGGUGGAACAGCCUGAAGGAGACAGCACCUCUGUCUCUGGGGAGCUGCCGGGAUGUGGCUGUCCUUUAGCUAUUUAUUAGAAAGGUCCUUUGACAUGCUUCAGGUGAGGGUUCAAUGCGGGAAGUAACCCUAGGAGACAGUGGAGCCUCGAGUGGCUCGGUCUCUGCUGUAAACACCAUUCCAGGGGGCACAGUCCACCCAUCGCAUAGCACUAGAGGGGAACGCUGCGCUUCACUCUGCCCACUGCAGUGAGGCUUCUGGGCCAUCUUGGUUCUUCAUCUCCAUUUUUGUUCUGCCUUGUACGAACCUCUUCUUCGUUCCACUUUGUUGCCUCGUGGCCAGAGCUGCUCUUGCCUCCUGUUUUGCUUCUGUAUAUUUCAGUUCCUGCAGCUCCCAUUUCCGGUCCAUGGCCCCUGCUUUCCCAGCUCCUUUCGGUCUAAGGAACUUUCUGACUUUAGGACCUGAGAGUGGAAGUCUCCCCACUGAGUCCCCAUUGACAGCUGCUCAUCGACUCCCCUCAGUCUGUCCCUGAGCUGUCCCUGUGCCAGCCGGACAGAGGUUGCUAAGUGGGGGUGGAGUGGGGUGUACAGAGAUACGUGGUCCACGGCUCUUACCUGGAGGACUUCACUGAGGGACAAGUCACCCACUGUGUGUCCGCACUGUGCUCACACGCAGAGCUUCCAGUGACACCUCACAAGAGAGCCAUGAGGUAGGCAUGAGGCCAUUUGAUUUCUGCUGUACUCUUAAUGAGGGAAAGGUAGUUAUUUUUACCCUCCAUGUAUGGACCAGGGAACUGAGGCCCAACAAAUGCUAGUUAACAUAGGCAAGGCCAGGCUGCCCACUCUGCCUGACUCCAGGGGCUCAUGUCCCCAUCCCAGGCCUGGCUGCCUCUACACCCGUAAAUCCAUGAUGAGACACCCCAGGCCAGGCUAUGAACAUAGGGCUGAAUUGACCACCAGGGUCAAGGGAAGGAGUGUGGUUGAGGUAGGAGAUGUAGACUCAACUCUAGACCAGAUUGAAGAGUGGCUAAAACAGGAAGAGGCCCUGAAAGCACCUCUCUCCAGAAGUCAUGCCCACCACCAGCACCAUCAGUUUUACCUUUGUCCAUAGCAAUAUCCGGAAGUUACCACCCCUUUCCAUGGCAGUGACCCAGAAGUUGCCCCCCCUUUCCACGGCAGUGACCCGGAAGUCAUAGCUCCUUUUCUAGAAAUUUCUAAAUAACCUGCCCUUUAAUUUGCAGGUGAUUAAAAGUGGAUAUAAACAUGACUGUGGAACUGCCCCUGAGCUGCUGCUCUCAGCACACUGCCCGUGGGGUAGGCCUGCUCUGCAGGGGCAAUCACAGAGCUGUAACACUGUCGUCUCCGUAAAGCUGUUUCUUCCACCACCAGCUCACACUUGAAUUCUUUCCUGAGCAAAGCCAAGAAACUUCCUAGGGUAGGCUCCAAGUUUGGGGCUCAUCUGCCCUGCCCCAUGGUGGUCAGGCACUGGGCCUCGGAGUGCUCCUCCGAACUCCAGAGCUUCAAUUUCCACCUCUGUGAAAUGGAGUGAGCUACACUUGCUUCACGAAGCUGCAUCGAGGCACGGAAGCCUUGAGAGCUGAGAAGCAUUCAUACCGUGGCCUGGCCCAGGUAGAGGCCGCUGAAGAAUGUUGGCUAAAUGAAGGAGGCUGCGAUAGUGUUGCAGAUACAGCAAUGGCAGCAGAUGUUUUGUUCAAAAGAAAUAGGCCCCAUAGAGGGCCGAGAGCCAGGAGAACCUCCAAGUGGGGUAAAGGAAGAGGGGAGUGGCAGUGGCCUGGCCAGGGAGGUCAGGGGAAGGUUCCCAAGAAGGACCAGGCCAGUCAGAGCAGAGCCGAGCCCCUUGUGCUGAGGGUCAGUGACAGCGACCUCACACCAUCUGAGCCUUUCUGAGAUCCAAACUCGGGAAUUACUUCAACUCUUUCCUCUCCUUCCCUUCCUCUUUCCUUGGAUUAGAUCAUGGAGUCUUACAAGUUAUAUUUUCAAUUCUCUGCAGGGUGGCCUUAAUCCAGGUCUCCAUCUCUCACUUGGAUUCCUGCCACAGCUGGAGACAGUCCCGGGGGUACUAAAGUGUCGACUCACUGAUUCCCUACUUAGUGCACUCCCCCAAGUCUCAGUGCUUCCAAUACCAACAUAUGGAUAUAUGUUGGUGACUUUCAGCCCCAUGUCCAUCUCAGUUAGCCCAGCAGCCCCCAAUCCUUCUGUUUCCUAUGUAAGUGGCAGUCCCCUGCCACUCAAGCCAACAUGAUGGGUCGUUUUUUGGAGCUAGUCUCCACCUUCCCCUCAUCUCAUACUGACCUGACCUUGAAAACUCAUCUGAAUCUGGCUGCUCCUCUCCAUGUACCUAUCCCCUCUGGGGUGCAAGCCACACCACCCUUCAGUUGCGGGAUGAUAGCAGCCAGUGGGCCCACAUCUGGCUGUGCCCCUCAUCUAUUAAAUCAUCUCACAGGCUCUUCCAGUCAUGCUGAGAAGGUCCAUCACCCACUCAUGCCUCUGGAUCUUGGCACCCGCCAGAAAUGGUAGUCCCACUCCCCCUGCCAGUGAUUGGCUUAGGAAUGGCCACGGAACCCAGUUCCAACCAGGAAGAGAAAAUGGGCAAGGGAAGGAAGGGAUAUCAUAAUCCUCCUCUAGAAAUGGUUGUAUCUAAUCGGGAUGCAGAUGCCUGAAACUCUGCAGUGUAGGAAACACUAGGGCCCGCUCUGUGAAAUAUUCACAUGUCCAAGUGGAAAGAGAACAGACCCUGUGGACUGAGGCUCGCCCCGGGGGACCUGGGCCUGCGUGCCUCUGCCUUUUCAUGUGAACUGAUGUCUCUUGCUUGAACUCACUUGAGUAAAGGUUUCGUGCCACUUGUAGCAUGUGCAGAUGUAACCAUCAACACAGAACUCCUACUUCCUGGAGACUGUGGGGGAUUUGAACUUACCAUAGGUUCACGGAGUGACAAAGCUGUUUCUAGGGCCGAUGCAGCCGUGGGCCAUGUGAAUAGAAUCACGGGGUCUGGGCUGGGGGAGGUGAAGGUUCUGGGCUCUACCGUACUGGCCAGACUCCACCUGGAGAGGCUACGGUCAGUCCAGGGUGACUACGCCAGCAGGGAGGUUGACCUGCCAGGUCCAUCUGCUGAGAAUGAUAGCAUUUAGAAGGGCUGGGAAACCCUGCCACGCAAGGAAUGCGUGAGAAAGUGGGGCUUUUUCUCCUGGCAAAGAGAAGGCUGGUGGUGGGACUUCAUUUCGGCUUCAGACGCAGGCAGGGUGAUGUGUGGAGGGAGUGGCCACGCUCAUGCUGCUGACCAAGAGGAAGUCAAUGACAGUAUAGAGUUUGUCAACAAUUGAGGACAAAUUCAAACUUCAGUAGGUAUCAUUCUCACCCAGGGAAGUUGGUAAAAACACAAAGGCCCAGGCCCUGUCUUUCAACGAGCCUGGGCCCCAAGUUGUUAGCACUCUAGGGGGUUUUGGGGCACGCCAACAUUUUUGCAACCUCUGACUCAAGGGAAGGAAGCCGACAUUUGUGAGGCAUUUAAUGUGAGCCAGGUGCUGAGCUGGGCCCAUCACUGUGGCUCCCAUUUGAUUUUGACACAAAUUCUUAGAGCCAAGCACUGCUACAGAUGGUUUUGGGAAGUGUAGUGAGUUUCCCAUGAGAAGUGUGGCUAAAAAUCAGUAAGAAAAGGAUGAUUAGUGUGAGAGGAAAAGGAGAGUAGGAAAAGAAUUCUUAAAUGAAGAACUAUAAAUGGCCAAGAAACCUAUGCAAAGAUACUCCUCUGUUGUGGCAGAGAUCACAAGCUGUUCUCCAGUAUCCACCUUCCCUUCUUCCAUAGGAGCAAAACCCUUGAUUUUCGGUCAGGCAUGUGGUCUAUUACUAAGACACUCCCAUCUAGCAUGAGGCUCCGUGCUCAAGUUCUGGCCAAUGAGAAGUAGCAGAUUCCAGGAAUCGUCCUAAAAAGGCAGCUGACAGGUGUCCCUUAUUUCCUUUUUCUUUAUCUUUUUCUUGUGGCUGGAAUACGAGACAUGAUGGUUGGGGCUCCAGCAGCCUUAUAGGGCGGUGAGGAGACCUUGGGGACAGAGAUCACACACAGCAAAGUAACAAGAGGAGGGGUCUGGGUGGCCAAAACCAUGGAGUGCAGCUGACAUGCCAGCUCUAGACUGCCGUCCUCCUGAUUUUACUUAAGCAAUAAAUGUCUGGCUUGAGUCUCUGUUAUUUGUUCCCGUGCCUAUUCCUAGCUGAUAACAACAGAGAAAUACAAAACAAGACAUGAAUUUGCCAAACUCCUGAUCACUUUUCACUCAUGAGAUUGGCACAAACCUAAAAAGACGAUGAUAUUGUUAGAGACAGUGCAGUGCUGUGGUUAGUAUCCCUCCUGCUCUGGACUUACCAGCUGUAGAAACUUGGACAAAGUGUGUAACCCUCUGUGCCUCAGUUUCCUCACCUAAAAAAUGAGUGUCGAACCCAGUACUACCCCACAGAGUCAUUGUGAGGAAUCGGCGUUUAGAAUAGAGCCCCGUACAAAGCACACAUAAGUGUCUACCGUGACUAUUACUAUUUAGCUGGCAUACCUGAGGUUGGUGUGCAUGUGUAGAGGAAAGACGCUCACGCCUGGCCAGGAGUGUGAAACGUAGACAGCCAGAAGGCUCUUGCUGUUUCAAAACUUUCAAACUACAUACAAGACUCCCCCCAGGGUGCUCCCUCUAACCCAGAAAUUCCACCUCUAGAACCCUGAAUCCCUUGGGGCCAAACGUGUUUCAGAUUUUUGGAAGCUAACUUGGUGCAUGUGCCCCAUCCUGUGUUACUCUUCCACGGGGUCUGGGCGUGCCCCAUGCUGUAGACCCUCUGGGGUGUUCAGCCCACCUCAAGUGCAUCUGGGGAAUUCUGGGGAGUGAAUGCCCUUGGGGUAGCCCUCAGCUGGUAAAGCCCAGGGGCAGGUGGGUAAGGCCCAGCAGCCUCUAGUCCUUCAGAGAAGCACCCCACAUUGCUCAGGAGGUCCUAGAGAAGUCGACUGCCCCCUCCUGCAGUGCCCUCUGCAGUGACCUCCCUAACCACCCUUGUGUUAUCUUCUCCCGACCCGCAUCUCACUCUCCAUGGUUGCUCCCUCCUGGAUUCUGGUGUCACCUUCCAAAAAACCGCCUGCACUCAAGUCCCGUCUCAGGCUUUGCUUUUGGGGACCUUCACCCAAGACAACCCCCUGACCAAACACAUUAUUUCUUCAGCAAGCUGCACACAUAGCACAGAAAGUGGGAUAAACAGACGCUGAACACUCUCACAUCAAUCUGGGUCAGGUUUGCUGGCAAAUAGGUAAAAGAAAAGGAGUAUGGUUCCGGUUCUGGGAGUGUUUGGGUUUCGUGGCUGUGGAGAUGGGACCGGACUGCAUUCUGCAGAGCACAAAGGCACCCUCUCUUGCUGAGUUCACUUGGUGUGAGUGGAGAGGCUCCCCCGGCCACGGACUGCACUCAGAAGGGCCCGAGACCACAGCAGUCACCAGGAAUUGGGCCCUCCAGGAGCUGACACUUGAGGGUAGAAGAUGUCUGAUGGGGCUUCUGGCCAAACUUGGGAAGGAGAGCUCUUGGGUGGGGAGACAAGGCCACAAUCAAUGGGUGCUCAGGGAUGGCCCCGCUGCAGAGGUGAGGUCUGAGAAGGGACUUGACAAUGAGAGGAAGCCUAGGACGCAUGAUCCGAGGCAAAGAGAACAGCAGAUGCAAAGGCUGCCAGGUAGGGCAGGGGUUUGAAGAGGAGGAGCAAGGAAGCCAGAGAGGAAGGCGGAAGAACUGGCUGGUGGGAGGAUGGGCACAGGUCACACGGGGCCUGAAGAGCUACGUUUCUAGCUUAGAAGAACAGCUGGUAUACAGAGGGACUUCCAGCCCGCGGGCACCGCCAUCUGAUUUGAACCUCUGGUUUUGUUGUGGGCAUAGAUGGUGCAUUUUCGCAACAAGGCAAAUGCGGAACCGGCACAUGGCGUUUGCUGCCCGCCUGGCUCCCACACUGCGUUUGUCCUAAUGAUACCCGUGGCUCACCACACCCUACAGGGGCCUCGGAAGGAGAGCCAGCGCCACCUCCACCUCCACCUCGCCACCACGGCAGGGGCUCCUGAUGGGUCUCAGGGUGAGCACCACCCUCUGCCAGUGACAGGUCAGGUGUGGGCAGUGACCAGUCUCAGCCAAUGAGACAUCAGGGAGAGCCCGCAGGUGGCCUCGGACCCCGCCAGCCUGGAUGCCGAGGCCGACCUAUGAGUCUGACUCGAAUUGGGGAAGAGCAGAACACACAAGGGGCCGAUGCUCACCCUGCUCCCUGCCAGGCCGCACUGUGGAUGGGCCUGUGGCCCGCGUGAGGCUGGGCAGGGAUUUCCGUCACUUGUAGCAGAAAGCCUCCCAUUGGCUAGUGAGCACCGUGUCCGUCCCAAGGGACAGACUGACAGGCUGUGGCUUGUCCCCGUCAUGGAACACAGCAGCGCGCUGAAAAGAAUGAGGGGGUAUCCUCCCGUCCUGAAAAGGAACCAGCGACGAGAGAUGUCGUCUCUUCUCAACCAGGGGUCAUUUUGCUCCCUAGGUAGGUUGCCAGGUUGAGGAAAUAAAAAUGCAGGGCAGCCGGUUCAAGCUGAAUUUCAGACAGUGCAUAUUAACUAGAUGUCUUGUAUUUACUCUGGCAACCUUACCCCCAGGGGACAUUUGGCAAUGGCUGGAGGCAUUUUUGGUUGUCACUGGGGACGGUUAGGUGCCACCAGCAUCUGGUGGGAAGGCACCAGAGAUGCUGUCAUACAUUCCACAAUGCGUAGGACAGCUUACGAAAAAAAAAAUAUCUAGCCUAAAAUGUUAGCUGUGACAAGGGUGAGAACUCCUGUAUUAAAUGAAAGAUGGCAACAAUUCCAUAAGAUAUGGUAGGAUCCCAUUUGUACGUCCUGUAUUUAUUCUGGCAACCCUACCCCCAGGGGACAUUUGGCAAUGUCUGGGGUUGUCACUGGGGAUGGGUUUGUGUGUGUAUGUGUGUUUCUUUUUUUCUUUUUCCAUACCCAACUAAGUCGUACAAUUGCAUAGAAAAAGGUAUGGAAGGUCACAUACCUAAGUCAUGUAGGGUAGCGAGUGGUCAUUCCUUUUACUCUAAAUACCUUCUGCAGUAUAUUAUUAUUUGUGAAGUUAAUGAUAAUUGAAGUGAAUAUACAUGUGUAUACACACAUACAGAAAGCAUGCCAAUCAAAACAAUAGAUAUUUCACAAAGUAAACACAACCAUGGCACGGCCUCCUGAUGAAGAUGAAGAACAUGGCCAGUGCUCCAUGAGGCCCUUCGCAGCCCUGCCAGCCUCUCCCUCGAGGGCUGCGAGGGGAACUGCUGUCCUGACUUCCAACCUGCUUUGGGCCCCACAUGAACCGAAUCCUGCCCGACGUCCUUGUUUGAGACUGGCGUCUUUCCCUCAGCAACGUGUCAUGAUUCAUUCAUGUGGAUCGGAGCAGCGGUUGGAUCAUUUUCAUUGCUGUGAAAUACACCACAAUGGGUUUAUGCAUUCAACCGUUGAUGGACAUUUGGGUUGUUUCCCGUUUGGCAAGACGAUGAAGAAAGCUGGUAUGAGCAUUCUUUCACACGUCUUUUCUUGGGCAUAUGUACUCGCUCCUGUUGAGUGUAAACCUAGGAAUGAAUCGCUCAGUCAUAGGGCAAAUGUGUGUUCCUCUUUCCCAGACACCAUUCGAGUUUCCAAAGUGCUUGCAGAGGUUUACACUGCCAUCCACCAGAGAUGAAAGUUCCACUUGGGCUGCUGCCUCCUGGCCAAGCCUGGCUAGGUUGUAGCUUUUGCGUUUUACUCCCUCUGGUGGGUGUGUAAAUUGCUAAUCACUGUGAUUUUAAUUUGCAUUUCCCUGAUGAUGAAGCUGAGCACUUUUUCGUAUCUUUAUGGGCCAUUUGAUCGUCCUCUUUUGUGAAAUGCCUAUUCGGGCCAUUGGUCCAUUUUUCUAUGAGGUUAUCUCCGUUUCUCUCAUUGAUUUGUAAUUAAGAGUCCUGUUGCAAAUAUCUUUCCCCACCGUGCAGUUUCUUGCCUUUUCCUUCGCUUACAACGCUCCACGCUGUCCUGGACCCUAGCAUCACCCAGGCCUAGGUAAUAGAAGGGUGGCCUUUGUAAAGUGACUCAAGGCUGAAAAGGGAACAGACACUCUUACCAUAAUAAGCUACAGCCUGAAAAACAGCCGGAGGUGAAUCUUUGCCGUGCGAAUGGUCUGGCUGUCUUUUAUAAAAGUAACUCGAUUGGACAAGACCCCAUGAGGGCCUCUGCUCCUCCCCACUCCCCUUUCCCCGAGGACCUAAUUCCCCACUGGGUCAGUCGCGGAACCAGAUAGAGCUGGGGACUCACGACGCAUGCUGAAGACUGGAUACAAGAGGAGGAAGGACUUUGGUGGAGAGAAGGAAUCAAAAGGAACUAAGAAUGUGAGACAAGAGGACUUGCUGGCAGGGUCCGCUGCUGUGUCCCCAGAAUCCCAGCAUGUGCCUGACACACAGCAGGUGCCUGAUUGAUAGUGACGGUUCCCCAAAGGCUGCUGGAGUCACCUCUGGGAGUCUGCGCGGGCUCCACCCUCUGGGGAGGUGUGCUUGGUAGAGGACAAAAAGGCUACUUGUUGGGGUUACCUUAGUACGUGCGUGAAGAGUAAAAAGUAAUAAUAAUCAAAGAAA